UACGUAGGGGGCAAGCGUUGUCCGGAAUCAUUGGGCGUAAAGAGCGUGUAGGCGGCCCGAUAAGUCCGCUGUGAAAGUCCAGGGCUCAACCCUGGGAUGCCGGUGGAUACUGUCGGGCUCGAGUCCGGAAGAGGCGAGUGGAAUUCCCGGUGUAGCGGUGAAAUGCGCAGAUAUCGGGAGGAACACCAAUGGCGAAGGCAGCUCGCUGGGACGGUACUGACGCUGAGACGCGAAAGCGUGGGGAGCAAACAGGG
rnacentral:rRNA from 1 species